UACGUAGGGUGCAAGCGUUGUCCGGAAUUAUUGGGCGUAAAGAGCUCGUAGGCGGUCUGUCGCGUCGGCUGUGAAAUCCCGAGGCUCAACCUCGGGUCUGCAGUCGAUACGGGCAAACUUGAGUGUUGCAGGGGAGACUGGAAUUCCUGGUGUAGCGGUGAAAUGCGCAGAUAUCAGGAGGAACACCGGUGGCGAAGGCGGGUCACUGGCCAGUUUCUGACGCUGCAGCGCGAAAGCGUGGGGAUCAAACAGG
rnacentral:rRNA from 1 species